GACGAACGCUGGCGGCGUGCUUAACACAUGCAAGUCGAACGGAAAGGCCCUGCUUUUGUGGGGUGCUCGAGUGGCGAACGGGUGAGUAACACGUGAGUAACCUGCCCUUGACUUUGGGAUAACUUCAGGAAACUGGGGCUAAUACCGGAUAGGAGCUCCUGCUGCAUGGUGGGGGAUGGAAAGUUUCGGCGGUUGGGGAUGGACUCGCGGCUUAUCAGCUUGUUGGUGGGGUAGGGGCUUACAAAGGCUUAGACGGGUAGCCGGCCUGAGAGGGUGACCGGCCACAUUGGGACUGCGAUACGGCCCAGACUCGUACGGGAGGCAGCAGUGGAGAAUAUUGCACAAUGGGCGGGAGCCUGAGGCAGCAGCGCCGCGUGUGGGAUGCCGGCCUUCGGGUUGUAAACCGCUUUCGCCUGUGACGAAGCGUGAGUGACGGUAAUGGGUAAAGAAGCACCGGCUAACUACGUG
rnacentral:rRNA from 1 species